rnacentral:rRNA from 1 species
UCGGCUCAGAUUGAACGCUGGCGGCAGGCCUAACACAUGCAAGUCGAGCGGAUGACGGGAGCUUGCUCCUUGAUUCAGCGGCGGACGGGUGAGUAAUGCCUAGGAAUCUGCCUGGUAGUGGGGGACAACGUUUCGAAAGGAACGCUAAUACCGCAUACGUCCUACGGGAGAAAGCAGGGGACCUUCGGGCCUUGCGCUAUCAGAUGAGCCUAGGUCGGAUUAGCUAGUUGGUGGGGUAAUGGCUCACCAAGGCGACGAUCCGUAACUGGUCUGAGAGGAUGAUCAGUCACACUGGAACUGAGACACGGUCCAGACUCCUACGGGAGGCAGCAGUGGGGAAUAUUGGACAAUGGGCGAAAGCCUGAUCCAGCCAUGCCGCGUGUGUGAAGAAGGUCUUCGGAUUGUAGAGCACUUUAAGUUGGGAGGAAGGGCAGUAAAGUUAAU